rnacentral:rRNA from 1 species
UGGGGAAUAUUGGGCAAUGGAGGAAACUCUGACCCAGCAACGCCGCGUGAAUGAUGAAGGUCUUCGGAUUGUAAAGUUCUUUUCUAAGGGAAGAAGAAAGUGACGGUACCUUAGGAAUAAGCCUCGGCUAACUACGUGCCAGCAGCCGCGGUAAUACGUAGGAGGCAAGCGUUAUCCGGAAUGACUGGGCGUAAAGGGUGCGUAGGUGGUUUGAUAAGUUGGUAGCGUAAUUCCGAGGCUCAACCUCGGCGCUACUACCAAAACUGUCGGACUUGAGUGCAGGAGGGGCAAAUGGAAUUCCUA